UACGUAGGGUGCAAGCGUUAAUCGGAAUACUGGGCGUAAAGCGUGCGCAGGCGGUCUGUUAAGACCGAUGUGAAAUCCCCGGGCUUAACCUGGGAACUGCAUUGGUGACUGGCAGGCUUUGAGUGUGGCAGAGGGAGGUAGAAUUCCACGUGUAGCAGUGAAAUGCGUAGAGAUGUGGAGGAAUACCGAUGGCGAAGGCAGCCUCCUGGGCCAACACUGACGCUCAUGCACGAAAGCGUGGGGAGCAAACAGG
rnacentral:rRNA from 1 species